ACUCCUACGGGAGGCAGCAGUGGGGAAUAUUGCACAAUGGGCGCAAGCCUGAUGCAGCGACGCCGCGUGGGGGACGAAGGCCUUCGGGUUGUAAACCCCUUUCAGCAGGGAAGAAGCGAAAGUGACGGUACCUGCAGAAGAAGCGCCGGCUAACUACGUGCCAGCAGCCGCGGUAAUACGUAGGGCGCAAGCGUUGUCCGGAAUUAUUGGGCGUAAAGAGCUCGUAGGCGGUUUGUCGCGUCUGCUGUGAAAACCCGAGGCUCAACCUCGGGCCUGCAGUGGGUACGGGCAGACUAGAGUGCGGUAGGGGAGACUGGAAUUCCUGGUGUAGCGGUGGAAUGCGCAGAUAUCAGGAGGAACACCGAUGGCGAAGGCAGGUCUCUGGGCCGCAACUGACGCUGAGGAGCGAAAGCAUGGGGAGCGAACAGGAUUAGAUACCCUGGUAGUCCAUGCCGUAAACGUUGGGCACUAGGUGUGGAGCUCAUUCCACGAGUUCCGUGCCGCAGCAAACGCAUUAAGUGCCCCGCCUGGGGAGUACGGCCGCAAGGCUAAAACUCAAAGGAAUUGACGGGGGCCCGCACAAGCGGCGGAGCAUGCGGAUUAAUUCGAUGCAACGCGAAGAACCUUACCAAGGCUUGACAUAUACCGAAAACUCAUGGAGACAUGGGGUCCGCAAGGGCGGUAUAC
rnacentral:rRNA from 1 species